rnacentral:sRNA from 2 species
AUGCCCAUCUCUAAUUUGUAGAUAUGGAGUAGCUCAUUGAAAAAUCACGUUUUUGAGAAACUGUGGCGUUUGGAAAAUUCAUCCAUGAGCACUACAAAAGGGACCGAAUGACGUGACUUCUUGCCUACAGCUCCCGGUAGCCAUAUACACUUCGUCCUAAAGGGCCCAGAGUUCUAAAGGCGGAGUGUGUGGAGAAAUUUCUUCAGUGCAGGCUCUCGAUAAUCCUGCAGUCAUGGCCAAGGUCAAUGAGACGUGGCGAGGCACCUUGCACCGGCCAGUUGAUACCUUCUUGGGGAAAGCCAUCUUGAAGUGUUUUUUUUUUUCCUCCGGAAACCCACGAGCACGAAAAAGAACGGAUGCAUCUGCCCAGCUCAUGGGUCUUCGAAUGCGAUCCAUAGCUUGCAUCUCCUCAAGAUAUCUGC